ACAUACUAAGGCUCAGAGCAGGCAACGGACAUCUUUAACUCAUCUACAGAUUCAGUGACAGAGUUAAGAGUACUCAGGGCUCCAAAUCCUAUCUGACCAUUAACUCAAACCACCUCUGUUUAUCCCGGCACCCCCCUUCUCGCCCCCCCUCCAGUAAACACUCUCUAUUAAACACCUUGUCCACUAAAGCACCAUGCCUUCCAGGAGAGACUCCUUUGUGCAACAGCCUUCCUCACUCUGCAGGAACUCACCAAAGUUUCAGUGAAUGAAUUUGGAGUGGUCAACAAGGGGUGCACAGUUGCAACUUUUAAAAGACAGCAGGAGAGAAAUGCCACAAAACAAAAUGCACAUGGAAAAAUCACUACCUUAUUUCAAAAUAUUUACAGGUUCACAUUUACAGGCCACCCAAAGUGUGGCGGUCAGUGGUGAGAAGGCAAAGAUCAGAGGCUGUUGGGGUGGGGCAUACACCAUGAUUCCCGGCCCCCCUCUGGGAGACACAAGGUAUCCCACAGUCUUCUCUCCCAGUCACAUCCUCCACGGAAACCACAAGAUGACUUGCUCAACUUUUUUUAAAGUAGAAAAAAGUAUGCUUGUGUGUGUGUAAGGGGAGGAGACGGGAUGUGAAUGAGAUGGAGGGUAGUGUAAUAAUUCCUGUAGUCAUAAGACACGCCAGUUGGUAGUUACUAGUAUUCCAGACACUUCCUAACGCCAGACAAAUGCCCCAAGCCUCGGCAUGUCUGGCUUAGAGAUCUAUUCAACUGAUAGCAGCCGCCUCUUCUGGGGAGAGCAGAUCUUUCAGAAAGCACUGGCUGCGCUGCUAAUCAAACGCAACAUUGUUCUCAGAAAGGAGGAAGAAUGGAAAGGUUUGUUUCAGAGUCACAACUUUAUUUUUUUUAAAAAAGCACCCAAGUUGUUUUAACAAGUUGCUACAAAACUUGGGCUUCCUGAGUGGAGGCUGUUUUGCACAGUGCAUCUACUGUACAAAAAUCCAGGCAGGGAGGGAUCAGAAAGUUAGAGUCAUUAAAGAAAAAAAAAAAAAAAAAAAAAAAGCCCCAGGCACUUCAUGCCUGGAAAUGAUGUCAGACGCAGCCACUCCUCUGUUAGAACUACGACCAAACAAUGCGCAGGCAAUCCACAGCAGCUGCCCUGCAAAUGUCAGCGCCACCCCAGUCCAAAGAGCUUGAAACCUACCAAGCCGAAGGACUGUGCUGUGCCUCUCUCGCGCACAUUUUCCCCAAGCACUCUCAGGAGCCUGGCAACAGGUAACGUGGCAACCUUUGACUUAUAAAAGGGCAAGUGGCACAAUUUCAGGGAACAAAUGGACUUUUUUUAAAGCCAGCAUCUCCCCCACCACUCCCACACCCUCCCUCCCAACCAAAAGUGAGUAAAAAACAAAGCAUUGACGCGGGCAGUCCUACUCUCGAGUGUCCCCUUGUGGCCAAGCCUGGAACAUCACAUCCGUACUUUGCAAUCUGUGGAUCAGCUACGAGGUAAGUCGCUCUUUGGAAGGGGUGGAGGUCUUCGCUGGACUUGUCUUCCGAAAAGCAUAAAGAGUGGAAGUCAAGGCUAAGAAUGGCUUGCUUUUUUACCUUACCACCUUAACAAAAACUUCACCUUAGCUGCAGGGUUCAAUCUCUGGGCUGGGGCUGGGGAUUUUCGUUGCUGUUGUUUUAAAGCAGCAGCCAAGGCCAUGUUUUUUAAGGUGGUGAGUUAAACAGAGCAAGAACUGCGAUAGCCUUUUCCCACCCAAUCUCUUUCUUCACAUCCUAGUCACAGCCAAGCGUAGGGUGGAUGGCAGUGAGGAUAAACAGCCCAGAAACUGAGGGUUCCUGCAGGGUGGGACUGGCAUUUUCCAUUUUUAUCUGAAGGUGUACUUUGAAUGCAGACACUUUUCUCGCAGGCCAGAAGCACUGCUCAUUUGCAUUGCUGGCUUCCAGUUAGCCUAUUUGCGAGGAUUACUUAGGAUUUCCAGACUGCAGGCCCAGCUACCCAGAGAAUAUGCCUCGAAGCCCCACCUCAACGCUUUCAUCUCUAUGUGGGGGGAAGCACCCAUGAAAAUGCCAACGGCAGUAUUUGUAACCUGCCUUCUUCCUUUUGGGAACUGCUUUCUGCAGCUCUCUCUGUUUUAGAGGAAUAACUACAGCAGGGAGCUGCUCCAGCCACGCAGGAGGAGAGGGCACCGUUGAGGAGAGGGCACCCGCAGGAGGAGAGGGCACCCGCAGGAGGAGAGGGCACCGUUGAGGAGAGGGCACCCGUUCUGUCUCCCUCUGGCUAUGUUAACUGGAAACUAGGAAAGGGUUUCAGAUCAAAGAUGAAUGCCGUCCACACAAAAGAGCUCCUGUUGACAUCUCAUUUACAAUCUCCCCCAGGACACAGACAAGACCCUUUCAAUAAACUCGGCUCAGAAACACCUAUUGUUCAAAAUCUUCAACUCGCCACAGGCUACCACCACUCCCUACGGCUUUGCAAAAUUAAAGAUUUAGAAGAAGGAUGGGGACGGUGGAAGCUAUGAAAAGAGGCAGGAAAAAAGUCCCUUUGACCCGAUGCUGUCAGAGAGCGUGCAUGAAGAAGAAAGUUAAUGGUAUUUCCAUUUAUAUAAGAAGUGCCUAAGAAAUGCCUGUGACGUUCGUGAACUAGUGAUUGUGAAUUCCAAAUUUGAUGCCAACUUUAUGUGUAAAGAAGCUAACUCCUGCCAACAUUGUGGCUGAAUGAACAGCCGGGGUUAUGCUUAACCCAUUCCCGGCUUACAAAAGCCCCAUAGCAGCUGCAGGAAAGCAUCAGGUGAGUCUGAUAUGGGCUGUCUGUUUCCUCUGGGAUUUGAAGCUUGCCUGUCCUGUCCAAGUGGAAUCUUGUGCCUAAGUGCUAGAGUCCACCCCUCUCCACUGAUUCCCUUCUUUCCAUUUCUGCCAUUUCCCUUCUUCUUUUAAUAAAACUUGGGCAUUUUCUAGAGUUACAUGUUUUUCUUGGGAUGUACUUCACAUUAAGGAGCAUAUUUGUGUUUACAGAAACACACACACACACACACACAAAAGAAUCGGGCAUUUCCCAAGUGGUGAUAUCUUUACCCUCCUCAUCUUUCCCUUAAGGUUCCCUAUCUCAGUACACGAUCCCUUUGUCUGCCCCGAGUUCAAGCCAAAACUCGGCAUUAUCUGUAAGCACUCUUUUGAGUCCUCUCUGAUCUCUUAAACCCCUCUGGAAUCAUUCCACGUCCUUCUGUGCAUCUUUCUGCUUCCCUAGAUCCUAUAGUUUGAAAUGUUCUCUUCUGGAGUAUCACAGCAACUUCCUUAACCCAAGGUUUCUCCAACUCUGAGUUGUGACUUAAUGGGUAGUGAAAUCAGAUGAGUCAUGCAGUUUCACCAUUUAGAAAAUGCAGAAGGUUAGGUAGAAAAUGUCAGCGUACAUCCUGUGUAGAAAAAUUCAGUCUUGUUGGGAAACUUCUUUCAGUUUGUGUGUGCGUGUCCCCGGAUCUGUGUACGUACUGGGCAACAGGGAAAAUGCAUUUUGUAGGUCAAAAUAUUUGGAGAAAUACUUUUCUACUUAGUCUCACUGGGUCUGUCUUUUCUCUGUUUCCAAACUCUUGCGGACACUUAGAGGAGGAGCGGAAACCCUCCAGCAGGUCCUGUCAGUCUGCAGUUUACAAAUCUGCCCUCAGGAUAAGAGUUCCUGCUCACUGUUCACGUCUCAGAAUUCUACAUCCUCCUGACCACUUUGCCUUUAGUUAUUCAACCCAUCAAGUUCCCUGGGUUUGCAUGUGCAAUCGAUUCCUUGUUAGGGGUAUUCUUUCCUCUGGUUUUUCCUUCAGAUCUGAGCUUACGUUUGACCUCUUCCAAGAAGAUGCCAGGAAUGUCCUUCUGAACGUCUUUCCUAGUUGUCAUGAGAACACUGCAGUUUUUAAGCAGGCAGAGCACUUACUACAUUAUAAUUCUCUUCUUGGUUCCCAACUGAACUUUCAAGUUCCAAGUGGGCAGUCAGUAAAUAUUUCUUGGUGCAUAAGAUGCUCCACACUUUACACAGUUCACGUUUGCUUCCUCCAAACCAAUUUGGAUGGUUAUAAAGUAUCUUAUCUCUAGUUCUCAAAGCUUUCGUUUCCUUUAACCCUUAAAUAUCUCUUGCACGUUUUCUUUUCAAACACUGCUUAAUUUGCAAAUUCAUUGGACUCCUUUCCUUAAAAAUCAAAAUAAUAAAACUUCAAGAAAGCUGUUUGGCUUCUGGCCACUUAGUCACCCUCUCUGAAUGACAGAUCUGUAAACAGGAAGGGCAGAACUCUGAUCUCUAAAAUCCUCUCCAGUCCACUACUCUGACCCUCUAACUUGAACUUCCUCCAGAGAGGUUAAGUGACUUUUCCAAGGUCACGCAGCUUUUUAGCAGCAGGAGAUUUUUUUCCUUGUCUAUAGAUUUUUAAAAGCUAGCAGCAAACAAAAACCAAAAAGUUUACCGAGGAAACUGAGUGCCACUAACAAGUUUGUGUGAAAGAGAAUACAUAAAGAAACAGGAAACUUUGAACAAAACACUAAAAUCAACAACAACCAAAAUGGAUUCCUGCCUAGGCAGGUCUGGACUUUAAAAAAAAAUGGUCUCACUGUGGUUUGCUAUUAGAUGGAGAGACAUUCAGAUUUCAUUUUUAAAAUGAAAGUGAAAGAUUAAAGAAUUUUGGCAUCCUGACCCUUUGUAGAGGCCAUUCCUCAGAGGCACAGUGUGCAGACAAAACUAUCCUAGAGGUGCCAACCAAAACAAGCUAAUGUCUGUCUCAUUCCUGAGCCCUGGUGCCUUGACCAGUAACCACGCUCAGGAAGAAAGCUGCAACUUGCCAGGAUGAAAUUUGGCCCCGGUUCUUACAACCCUUCCCCGCUUCCUUCCCUUGCCAGAAGCACACGGAAGAAUUCGCUGCUCUCAAAGGCAGACUUUUCAUUACUUCCUUACAUUAUAGAAUUUGGGCUUAGAUAACCAGUUGUAUGAGUAGCAAGUCCAACAGAAAUACAACAGCAAUAAUACUUAUGUCUUUCCCUAAUGUAAUAUGUUAUACUUCAUAAGCCACCAGAUGCAUUUGUCGCUUUUCCCCCUUCCACACUGACCAGCAGUUUUGCUUUGUUUGGCAGAAAAGUUUGGUAAGAAGAAAUUGAAUCUGAAGUGCUUUCUUACAAAGGAAAAAGAAAAUCACUAUUAUAACUGUAUACCAAACUACUACGUAUGUGAGGCCCCAACUCUGACUUCACGUCGUUACAGCCAGGAUCUUGUUCUGUUACGCAGGCUCAUUGCAACAAGGUGAUUUUCCCGCCUCAGUCUCCAGAGUAGCUGGAUUACAGGCCUGUGCCACCACACCCAGGUAAUAUUUUAUAUUUUUUGUAGAAAUGGGGUUUUGCUAUGUUGCCCAGGCUGGUCUUGAACUCCUGGGCUCAAGCGAUCCACCCUCCUCAGCCUCCCAAAGUACUGGGAUUACAGGCAUAAGCUACUGCACCCGGCCUUGAGCAUUUGUUUUUUGAAGGAAAUUUUAUAUGAUUAUUACGUAAAAAAGGAAUACUAAAAAUCUCCUAACAUUGAUAUCUCUCUGUCUUUAAAUUUUAAAAGCUUAAGGAACAUGGACCCAUACAGUGCAGCCAAAUAUUAGCCGGUAACUUCUUUUUUUUUUUUUUGAGAUGGAGUUUUGCUCUGUUGCCCAGGCUGGAGUGCAGUGGCGUGAUCCUUGGCUCACUGCAAGCUCCACCU